rnacentral:misc_RNA from 1 species
GAUGAAGAACGCAGCGAAAUGCGAUAAGUAAUGUGAAUUGCAGAAUUCAGUGAAUCAUCGAAUCUUUGAACGCACAUUGCGCCCGCCAGUAUUCUGGCGGGCAUGCCUGUCUGAGCGUCAUUUCAACCCUCAUGCCCCUAGGGCGUGGUGUUGGGGAUCGGCCAAAGCCCGCGAGGGACGGCCGGCCCCUAAAUCUAGUGGCGGACCUGUCGUGGCCUCCUCUGCGAAGUAGUGAUAUUCCGCAUCGGAGAGCGAUGAGCCCCUGCCGUUAAACCCCCAACUUUCCAAGGUUGACCUCAGAUCAGGUAGGAAUACCCGCUGAACUUAAGCAUAUCAAUAAGCGGAGGA